rnacentral:lncRNA from 1 species
CAUUCCUUGCCAAAAGCCUUUUAACUAGAAGUUUGGAAUGAAUUUGCAGUAGAAGAACAUUGAAAAAACUCCAUGUAAACAAAAAACCUGCUUACAGGGAAGAAUCAACAUCAAGAAAAAGAGAAUGAACUCUUGAACAUAAACUAUGAUAAGCUUGAGUGUCUUCUGUAUGACCCAUGAACAGCAAUGGAAAUCAAAGGAACAGAAAAUGAAACUGCAAAUUGCUAAACUAGAGAUGGCUAUCAAAUCUGAUUUAGCAGACAAAAAUGCAAUCCUUGACAAGAUCAAAGUAGAAAGAGGAAUUAGAAAAAUCUGGAUUAAAAUUACAUCACUUGGUUUUAUGUAG